AGUGGAUUGUCACAUGUUACAUGGUCGCGUUCAGCGCUGUCAAUAGGAGCUGAACUCUUUGUUGUCACGUUCUCUUAUUGGGAUCAAAGAGUCACAAUGUUCGUUUGAAAGAUUUAUAUAUAUCUUCGACGCUCGAGCAUUGACGGUUGUUAUUCGUGAUAUUGGGAUGAUUGACAUGUCACAGUCGCGAGCGGAAUUCGUUAAGUCGGUUAGAACUUAACGAAUUCCGCUCGCGACUGAGACAUGUCAAUCAACUCAAAAUACGUCAGAUAAUAUAAAAUCUUAUUUUUGUACGUGGUUUGGUAGGGCUUAAAUCAAUAACAACUUUAUUGUAUUAUUUAACGUGACAUGCCUUUAUGAUGCAGUCAGGCAAACACCGUUUACGUAAUAUAAACUGUUAAGGUUGUUUGUAUUUUUCCUUCUGACGUAACUUCAUUUGACAUGUUUUGCUGUAUUGUUUCCCGCGCCGCUAUACACUCAAGCGUAUAUAAAUAAACAAUUCAUAUACGCAUUGUUCAUUUGUUUUUUCCCUUUCACACAAUAGGCAUGAUUCUGAUGUGUGAACAUUUUUAAAAACGUGUCGCCAAUCCAAGUAGCGUUAAAACAAACUCGAGUUUCCUCUUUUGUGACGUUAAACGGACUGCGGUUCAUGGCUAAUGCAUGGAUAAUUCGAGGGACAUUUUGUCCUAACAUGCUAUUUACGCUUAAAAUAUUUCCCCCCUAUUUAAUCGACUUACCAACGGUCGUGUAUCUUGCACCCUACCUUACUGAAGUGACACGAAAAUAUCGAGUAUAAAUGAGGAAAACAUCGGCCUAAUGGAGUACGCAAGGUGCCGCGGUGGAAUGCACAAACACACCCCUCAGCACACGCCCUCCAUCUGCCGUGCGACGAACAGCCACAUACGCGAAGAUUACGAAAAUUCAAACCUUAACGGUUGAAAAAGGCCGUAUUUCACACGUUUCAACAAAGAAGAUAUUUAAGGAUACGAUAAAAUACGCGAUUGAUACCAUUUUGUCCCCUAGUUACUAUCGAGUGAACUAUCGUGUUUUGACGCGCGCGCAGUGUUUAUCCCGUUUCUAGUAAAUAGACGAUAUGACCGCAGCUUCGCUAAUUAUAGAUCAGACGCAAAUAGGUUGAAUAUAAAACUCGCAGGUUAUGCUUACAGAUGUUAACAACAUCUGUUAGCGAAAUAUAAGCAGCCAUAAUGUUCGGAAAUAACAAGGCGAGAGUGAAACAAUCUCUUGAACAGUAACACAAUAACAACUCUAAAAACAGCCAUGACUGCAAAUGGCGCUCAGAGCGUGAACAAAUACAGUGCAAAUGUGAAUAGCGUUGCAUGCCUGAGGCAAAGUGUGACAAUAUAUGGCGGAAGAACAAACGUCUACAAAGCUGGAAUCUGAGGGUGAAAAUCGACUUUAAAAAUCGAUAGUGACAAAAUCGACUUUGAAGUUCUUUAUCAUAGUAGGCCAUCCACUCACAAAAAUAAAGUUUUUAUACAUUAUGGUAGGGAAUUUAUAAAAUAUCUUCAUGAAACAUGAUCUUUACUUAAUAUACUAAUUAUUUUGGGUAUAAAAGAAAAACCUGUAGUUUUUACCCAUAACCUGUAUUUUUGGCGAUUACUAAAAAUGUUCCCGUGCUACUUAAGACUGGUUUUGUUGUCCAGGGUCACAUUUAACACCAGAUCAAGACAUGUGGGAUAAUAUUACUGAUGCCACCCCAGUGUUUUCCGUUUAAAAAGAGACAUGUAACAAGAUAGAAUCAAACAACUCCCUGAAAUUACAAGAAUGACAACAGUUUAAAAGAAAGCAAAAGCUGGUAUGUAUUUAUAAGCUACUCUGUCCAAUGGUGUAAUUACAAAUAUCAAGCAUGGCCUUUUACUGUUUUCUUAGCAGAUUCCUUGGACUCCCGUUACACAGAUCUCUUGAAACUCAAAUCCAUGUUUGUCAUUUAUUUUACUUUGUAUAUCUUUAUUUUAAGGAAACGUCACUUAGAUUAUUCACAACGAGAACGAAAUGAGUUCUGCAAAAGCGGCAGAUUUAGCUGUUUUCGGUUAUACGUCUAGUGUCCUGGGAAAUUGAUUAAAAAAGGACUUAUGCCCUUUCAUUUGAUUAGGUUUCAGCAGCCGUGCAGUGGAAGAACUCUUAAAAGUCCCUCCAAAACACUCACCCAUCUUUUUUAUUUUGUUCAGAUGCUCUGCAAUAUUGUUUCAUCUUCAUGUGUGAAAUGAAUUCGUGGAUACAUUUUCCUUCUACUCCAUUUCCCGAGUGUCAUUGUUAAGCGGAGUGUUAUCAGUGAGUGUACAGAGGGGCUAACACCGCACAGAGUAAAUGAUGACGGAGGAGGCCAUUUUCUCUCAUCCUCUCUCCGCUGUACAUGCUGUUAGUAUGUUACAUAAGAUGAUUCCUAUGGCUACAUAAAUCCCCAUAGGGAAAGAGAGAGAGAAAGUGUGCAUUGAUUGGAAAUGAGGAUCAGCCGGCUCUUCGUGCCUUUAGCUGAGAACGGGGAAAAAAACAUUACUAGGACUAAAGUUACAUCGUUGUAGAAUCAAAUAAUCAUUUGCAUAUUUUGGUACAAGAGCUUUUACAGAAUGUUAUAAGAAAUGAUUCAUUAUAAUCUAAACAGACAUGUCUGGACAAAAUCACAUUUCAGUUGCAUGUAGAUAUUUGAAUGCAAAAGUAUGCGAAACCCCCAAAUAUGCAAGGAGCCGUAAGCCCAUUGUACUGGAUUGCAAAGCUAAAUACAGAUGCCAUGUUACAAUCAUUGCUCUUAUUUCUGUGCCUUGGAGUCGUGUAUGUGGGAUUACACCCGGAGAGCUUGUUUCUGACAGACUCCUUUGAUGAAAUGUUAGGAGUUGUGUGUGUAUGUUUUGCUCUGAAGGUACAGCUGAAAUGUGUGGGCUUUCCCGCCCUCUGAGAUUAUAUAACAUGUACCAGCCGUGGCCAGCAGUCUCAUUUAAAACAGAUUUUCUGUUUUUGUGCAACGUGUGCCAUCGCUGGAGAAGGGUGGCUGAGCAUUUGGUCAUUUUGAUGUUUAUAGCCACUCUGUGUUUAAGGACUCAAACAUACCAGUGUUCUGAAUUAUUUAAAAGAUCUGUCAAACCUCUGUGGUGUGUUUGAUGCAAAUGUGGAUUUGUUUUUUA